GAUCAUGGCUCAGGACGAACGCUGGCGGCGUGCCUAAUACAUGCAAGUAGAACGCUGAAGGAAGGAGCUUGCUCUUUCCGGAUGAGUUGCGAACGGGUGAGUAACGCGUAGGUAACCUGCCUGGUAGCGGGGGAUAACUAUUGGAAACGAUAGCUAAUACCGCAUAAGAGUAGAUAUCGCAUGAUAGCUGCUUAAAAGGUAGCAAUUGCACCACUACUAGAUGG
rnacentral:rRNA from 1 species